rnacentral:rRNA from 1 species
GAUUUCUGAUUGAUUUCUCUAGUCCGCUGAGGUAACUCAUGUGUGUGCUGGAAGAAAUCAGUCAUCCAUGUAGAGAGGUCACUGCCGGCUCCGCCGGUGGGUGGUUCGAUCUGCAUCUUUUACUUUGAAAAAAUUAGAGUGUUUAAAGCAGGCUUGCGCUAUGAAUACAUUAGCAUGGAAUAAUAAUAUAGGACUUCGGUCUCUAUUUUGUUGGUUCUAGAACUGAAGUAAUGAUUGAUAGGGACAGUUGGGGGUGCUCGUAUUCAGCGGCCAGAGGUGAAAUUCUUGGAUUCGCUGAAGACGAACUUAUGCGAAAGCAUU